CUUCAAGGAUGUAAUCGAUUAAAACUGAAUAACGGAUCGUGUCGACUUGUCGACCUUCAUUUUUCCAAGCACUCUCAAAUAUUGCUCUUGUCAAUUUUCUGACAUACAAGCGAAUUCGACAGUAAAGUCCCAAAAUUUUAGUAUCUCUUCCAAAAAUGCCAGGGUGCUGUAAUCCUUGCCAGUGCUGCGUCACAGACAUUCCCAUCUUUUGCUGUCCCAAUUCACCCUGUGGACAACCUUGUUGCCAGUACUGUUUUCCACCGUGCUGUUCAUCGCUGCGUCCUCAAGGUAAUGUGACUUACAGCAGAGCUACUCCACCUCCAACUUCCUACCCGAGAAGAGAGUGAAAGAAGUCUUCUGUUAUUCAAUAAACAAUGUUGAAUGGUUAUUGUGUGCAAGGUGAAGUAUAAAAAAAUGUUUUCUUGAA